ACGAGCGAGAGAGAGCUUGCUUUCUCGAGCGAGUGGCGAACGGGUGAGUAACGCGUGAGGAACCUGCCUCAAAGAGGGGGACAACAGUUGGAAACGACUGCUAAUACCGCAUAAGCCCACGGGUCGGCAUCGACCAGAGGGAAAAGGAGCAAUCCGCUUUGAGAUGGCCUCGCGUCCGAUUAGCUAGUUGGUGAGGUAAUGGCCCACCAAGGCGACGAUCGGUAGCCGGACUGAGAGGUUGAACGGCCACAUUGGGACUGAGACACGGCCCAGACUCCUACGGGAGGCAGCAGUGGGGAAUAUUGCACAAUGGGGGAAACCCUGAUGCAGCGACGCCGCGUGGAGGAAGAAGGUCUUCGGAUUGUAAACUCCUGUUGUUGGGGAAGAUAAUGACGGUACCCAACAAGGAAGUGACGGCUAACUACGUGCCAGCAGCCGCGGUAAAACGUAGGUCACAAGCGUUGUCCGGAAUUACUGGGUGUAAAGGGAGCGCAGGCGGGAAGACAAGUUGGAAGUGAAAUCCAUGGGCUCAACCCAUGAACUGCUUUCAAAACUGUUUUUCUUGAGUAGUGCAGAGGUAGGCGGAAUUCCCGGUGUAGCGGUGGAAUGCGUAGAUAUCGGGAGGAACACCAGUGGCGAAGGCGGCCUACUGGGCACCAACUGACGCUGAGGCUCGAAAGUGUGGGUAGCAAACAGGAU
rnacentral:rRNA from 1 species